rnacentral:rRNA from 1 species
AUACGUAUGGGGCGAGCGUUGUCCGGAAUUAUUGGGCGUAAAGGGUACGUAGGCGGUUAGAUAAGUCAGAUGUAAAAGCGUGGGGCUCAACCCCAUAAAGCAUUUGAAACUGUGUAACUUGAGUAGUGGAGAGGAAAGUGGAAUUCCUAGUGUAGCGGUGAAAUGCGUAGAUAUUAGGAGGAAUACCAGUGGCGAAGGCGACUUUCUGGACACAAACUGACGCUGAGGUACGAAAGCAUGGGGAGC